AGAGUUUGAUCAUGGCUCAGGAUGAACGCUGGCGGCGUGCUUAACACAUGCAAGUCGAACGAGUUACAUUAGAGGAAGUUUUCGGAUGGAAUCUAAUGUAGCUAGUGGCGGACGGGUGAGUAACGCGUGGGAAACCUGCCCUAUACAGGGGAAUAGCCUCGGGAAACCGGGAUUAAUACCCCAUAAAACUCUAGAAUCGCAUGAUUCAUGAGCCAAAGAUUUAUCGGUAUAGGAUGGUCCCGCGUCUGAUUAGCUAGUUGGUGAGGUAAAGGCUCACCAAGGCGACGAUCAGUAGCCGGCCUGAGAGGGUGAACGGCCACACUGGAACUGAGACACGGUCCAGACUCCUACGGGAGGCAGCAGUGGGGAAUAUUGCACAAUGGGGGAAACCCUGAUGCAGCGACGCCGCGUGAGCGAAGAAGGCCUUCGGGUCGUAAAGCUCUGUCCUAAGGGAAGAAGAAGACGGUACCUUAGGAGGAAGCCCCGGCUAACUACGUGCCAGCAGCCGCGGUAAUACGUAGGGGGCGAGCGUUAUCCGGAAUUACUGGGCGUAAAGGGUGCGCAGGCGGCCAUUUAAGUCAGAUGUGAAAGGCUACGGCUUAACCGUAGUUAGCAUUUGAAACUAGAAGGCUUGAGUGCAGUAGAGGAGAGUGGAAUUCCUAGUGUAGCGGUGAAAUGCGUAGAUAUUAGGAGGAACACCAGUGGCGAAGGCGACUCUCUGGACUGCAACUGACGCUGAGGCACGAAAGCGUGGGUAGCGAACAGGAUUAGAUACCCUGGGUAGUCCACGCCGUAAACGAUGAGUGCUAGGUGUUGGAG
rnacentral:rRNA from 1 species